rnacentral:rRNA from 1 species
UUAAGCGACUAAGCGUACACGGUGGAUGCCCUGGCAGUCAGAGGCGAUGAAGGGCGUGCUAAUCUGCGAUAAGCGCCGGUAAGGUGAUAUGAACCGUUAUAACCGGCGAUACCCGAAUGGGGAAACCCAGUGUGACUCGUCACACUAUCAUUAACUGAAUCCAUAGGUUAAUGAGGCGAACCGGGGGAACUGAAACAUCUAAGUACCCCGAGGAAAAGAAAUCAACCGAGAUUCCCCCAGUAGCGGCGAGCGAACGGGGAGGAGCCCAGAGCCUGAAUCAGCAUGUGUGUUAGUGGAAGCGUCUGGAAAGGCGCGCGAUACAGGGUGACAGCCCCGUACACAAAAGCGCAUGUGCUGUGAGCUCGAUGAGUAGGGCGGGACACGUGGUAUCCUGUCUGAAUAUGGGGGGACCAUCCUCCAAGGCUAAAUACUCCUGACUGACCGAUAGUGAACCAGUACCGUGAGGGAAAGGCGAAAAGAACCCCGGCGAGGGGAGUGAAAAAGAACCUGAAACCGUGUACGUACAAGCAGUGGGAGCACCCUUCGGGGUGUGACUGCGUACCUUUUGUAUAAUGGGUCAGCGACUUAUAUUCUGUAGCAAGGUUAACCGAAUAGGGGAGCCGGAGGGAAACCGAGUCUUAAUUGGGCGUUAAGUUGCAGGGUAUAGACCCGAAACCCGGUGAUCUAGCCAUGGGCAGGUUGAAGGUUGGGUAACACUAACUGGAGGACCGAACCGACUAAUGUUGAAAAAUUAGCGGAUGACCUGUGGCUGGGGGUGAAAGGCCAAUCAAACCGGGAGAUAGCUGGUUCUCCCCGAAAGCUAUUUAGGUAGCGCCUCGUGAAUUCAUCUCCGGGGGUAGAGCACUGUUUCGGCUAGGGGGCCAUCCCGGCUUACCAACCCGAUGCAAACUGCGAAUACCGGAGAAUGUUAUCACGGGAGACACACGGCGGGUGCUAACGUCCGUCGUGAAGAGGGAAACAACCCAGACCGCCAGCUAAGGUCCCAAAGUCAUGGUUAAGUGGGAAACGAUGUGGGAAGGCCCAGACAGCCAGGAUGUUGGCUUAGAAGCAGCCAUCAUUUAAAGAAAGCGUAAUAGCUCACUGGUCGAGUCGGCCUGCGCGGAAGAUGUAACGGGGCUAAACCAUGCACCGAAGCUGCGGCAGCGACGUUUAUGCGUUGUUGGGUAGGGGAGCGUUCUGUAAGCCUGCGAAGGUGGCCUGUGAGGGUUGCUGGAGGUAUCAGAAGUGCGAAUGCUGACAUAAGUAACGAUAAAGCGGGUGAAAAGCCCGCUCGCCGGAAGACCAAGGGUUCCUGUCCAACGUUAAUCGGGGCAGGGUGAGUCGACCCCUAAGGCGAGGCCGAAAGGCGUAGUCGAUGGGAAACGGGUUAAUAUUCCCGUACUUGGUGUUACUGCGAAGGGGGGACGGAGAAGGCUAUGUUGGCCGGGCGACGGUUGUCCCGGUUUAAGCGUGUAGGCUGGUUUUCCAGGCAAAUCCGGAAAAUCAAGGCUGAGGCGUGACGACGAGGCACUACGGUGCUGAAGCAACAAAUGCCCUGCUUCCAGGAAAAGCCUCUAAGCAUCAGGUAACAUCAAAUCGUACCCCAAACCGACACAGGUGGUCAGGUAGAGAAUACCAAGGCGCUUGAGAGAACUCGGGUGAAGGAACUAGGCAAAAUGGUGCCGUAACUUCGGGAGAAGGCACGCUGACAUGUAGGUGAAGUGAUUUACUCAUGGAGCUGAAGUCAGUCGAAGAUACCAGCUGGCUGCAACUGUUUAUUAAAAACACAGCACUGUGCAAACACGAAAGUGGACGUAUACGGUGUGACGCCUGCCCGGUGCCGGAAGGUUAAUUGAUGGGGUCAGCGCAAGCGAAGCUCCUGAUCGAAGCCCCGGUAAACGGCGGCCGUAACUAUAACGGUCCUAAGGUAGCGAAAUUCCUUGUCGGGUAAGUUCCGACCUGCACGAAUGGCGUAAUGAUGGCCAGGCUGUCUCCACCCGAGACUCAGUGAAAUUGAACUCGCUGUGAAGAUGCAGUGUACCCGCGGCAAGACGGAAAGACCCCGUGAACCUUUACUAUAGCUUGACACUGAACAUUGAGCCUUGAUGUGUAGGAUAGGUGGGAGGCUUUGAAGCGUGGACGCCAGUCUGCGUGGAGCCGACCUUGAAAUACCACCCUUUAAUGUUUGAUGUUCUAACGUGGACCCGUUACCCGGGUUGCGGACAGUGUCUGGUGGGUAGUUUGACUGGGGCGGUCUCCUCCUAAAGAGUAACGGAGGAGCACGAAGGUUGGCUAAUCCUGGUCGGACAUCAGGAGGUUAGUGCAAUGGCAUAAGCCAGCUUGACUGCGAGCGUGACGGCGCGAGCAGGUGCGAAAGCAGGUCAUAGUGAUCCGGUGGUUCUGAAUGGAAGGGCCAUCGCUCAACGGAUAAAAGGUACUCCGGGGAUAACAGGCUGAUACCGCCCAAGAGUUCAUAUCGACGGCGGUGUUUGGCACCUCGAUGUCGGCUCAUCACAUCCUGGGGCUGAAGUAGGUCCCAAGGGUAUGGCUGUUCGCCAUUUAAAGUGGUACGCGAGCUGGGUUUAGAACGUCGUGAGACAGUUCGGUCCCUAUCUGCCGUGGGCGCUGGAGAACUGAGGGGGGCUGCUCCUAGUACGAGAGGACCGGAGUGGACGCAUCACUGGUGUUCGGGUUGUCAUGCCAAUGGCACUGCCCGGUAGCUAAAUGCGGAAGAGAUAAGUGCUGAAAGCAUCUAAGCACGAAACUUGCCCCGAGAUGAGUUCUCCCUGAGACUUUAGGUCUCCUGAAGGAACGUUGAAGACGACGACGUUGAUAGGCCGGGUGUGUAAGCGCAGCGAUGCGUUGAGCUAACCGGUACUAAUGAACCGUGAGGCUUAACCUU